UGAGUAACACGUAUCCAACCUGCCGUCUACUCUUGGACAGCCUUCUGAAAGGAAGAUUAAUACAAGAUGGCAUCAUGAGUCCGCAUGUUCACAUGAUUAAAGGCAUUCCGGUAGACGAUGGGGAUGCGUUCCAUUAGAUAGUAGGCGGGGUAACGGCCCACCUAGUCUUCGAUGGAUAGGGGUUCUGAGAGGAAGGUCCCCCACAUUGGAACUGAGACACGGUCCAA
rnacentral:rRNA from 1 species